rnacentral:rRNA from 1 species
UCAGAUUGAACGCUGGCGGCAGGCCUAACACAUGCAAGUCGAGCGGUAACAUUUCUAAGCUUGCUUAGAAGAUGACGAGCGGCGGACGGGUGAGUAAUGCUUGGGGAUCUGCCUGAUGGCGGGGGACAACCACUGGAAACGGUGGCUAAUACCGCAUAAUGCCUAUGGGUCAAAGUGUGGGACCUUCGGGCCACACGCCAUCAGAUGAACCCAAGUGAGAUUAGCUGGUUGGUAAGGUAACGGCUUACCAAGGCGACGAUCUCUAGCUGGUCUGAGAGGAUGAUCAGCCACACUGGGACUGAGACACGGCCCAGACUCCUACGGGAGGCAGCAGUGGGGAAUAUUGGACAAUGGGGGCAAGCCUGAUCCAGCCAUGCCGCGUGUGUGAAGAAGGCCUUCGGGUUGUAAAGCACUUUUAGUGGUGAGGAAGGCUUGCAAGUUAAUAGCUUGCGAGAUUGACGUUAGCCACAGAAGAAGCACCGGCUAACUCCGUGCCAGCAGCCGCGGUAAUACGGAGGGUGCGAGCGUUAAUCGGAAUUACUGGGCGUAAAGCGCACGUAGGCGGUUUGUUAAGCAAGAUGUGAAAGCCCCGGGCUCAACCUGGGAAUUGCAUUUUGAACUGGCAGGCUAGAGUU